rnacentral:rRNA from 1 species
AGAGUUUGAUCCUGGCUCAGGAUGAACGCUGGCGGCGUGCCUAAUACAUGCAAGUCGAGCGAACGGACGAGAAGCUUGCUUCUCUGAUGUUAGCGGCGGACGGGUGAGUAACACGUGGAUAACCUACCUAUAAGACUGGGAUAACUUCGGGAAACCGGAGCUAAUACCGGAUAAUAUUUUGAACCGCAUGGUUCAAAAGUGAAAGACGGUCUUGCUGUCACUUAUAGAUGGAUCCGCGCUGCAUUAGCUAGUUGGUAAGGUAACGGCUUACCAAGGCAACGAUGCAUAGCCGACCUGAGAGGGUGAUCGGCCACACUGGAACUGAGACACGGUCCAGACUCCUACGGGAGGCAGCAGUAGGGAAUCUUCCGCAAUGGGCGAAAGCCUGACGGAGCAACGCCGCGUGAGUGAUGAAGGUCUUCGGAUCGUAAAACUCUGUUAUUAGGGAAGAACAUAUGUGUAAGUAACUGUGCACAUCUUGACGGUACCUAAUCAGAAAGCCACGGCUAACUACGUGCCAGCAGCCGCGGUAAUACGUAGGUGGCAAGCGUUAUCCGGAAUUAUUGGGCGUAAAGCGCGCGUAGGCGGUUUUUUAAGUCUGAUGUGAAAGCCCACGGCUCAACCGUGGAGGGUCAUUGGAAACUGGAAAACUUGAGUGCAGAAGAGGAAAGUGGAAUUCCAUGUGUAGCGGUGAAAUGCGCAGAGAUAUGGAGGAACACCAGUGGCGAAGGCGACUUUCUGGUCUGUAACUGACGCUGAUGUGCGAAAGCGUGGGGAUCAAACAGGAUUAGAUACCCUGGUAGUCCACGCCGUAAACGAUGAGUGCUAAGUGUUAGGGGGUUUCCGCCCCUUAGUGCUGCAGCUAACGCAUUAAGCACUCCGCCUGGGGAGUACGACCGCAAGGUUGAAACUCAAAGGAAUUGACGGGGACCCGCACAAGCGGUGGAGCAUGUGGUUUAAUUCGAAGCAACGCGAAGAACCUUACCAAAUCUUGACAUCCUUUGACAACUCUAGAGAUAGAGCUUUCCCCUUCGGGGG